UACGGAGGAUGCGAGCGUUAUCCGGAUUUAUUGGGUUUAAAGGGUGCGUAGGCGGCUUGUUAAGCGGGAGGUGAAAUGCCGGCGCUCAACGUCGGAAGUGCCUCUCGAACUGGCUGGCUGGAAUGCCCCUGCCGUGGGAGGAAUGUGUGGUGUAGCGGUGAAAUGCUUAGAGAUCACACAGAACACCGAUUGCGAAGGCAUCUCACGAAGGGGUGAUUGACGCUGAGGCACGAAAGCGUGGGGAU
rnacentral:rRNA from 1 species